AACGAACGCUGGCGGCAGGCUUAACACAUGCAAGUCGAGCGAGACCUUCGGGUCUAGCGGCGGACGGGUGAGUAACGCGUGGGAACGUGCCCUUCUCUACGGAAUAGCCCCGGGAAACUGGGAGUAAUACCGUAUACGCCCUUUGGGGGAAAGAUUUAUCGGAGAAGGAUCGGCCCGCGUUGGAUUAGGUAGUUGGUGGGGUAAUGGCCCACCAAGCCGACGAUCCAUAGCUGGUUUGAGAGGAUGAUCAGCCACACUGGGACUGAGACACGGCCCAGACUCCUACGGGAGGCAGCAGUGGGGAAUCUUAGACAAUGGGGGCAACCCUGAUCUAGCCAUGCCGCGUGAGUGAUGAAGGCCUUAGGGUUGUAAAGCUCUUUCAGCUGGGAAGAUAAUGACGGUACCAGCAGAAGAAGCCCCGGCGAACUCCGU
rnacentral:rRNA from 1 species